rnacentral:rRNA from 1 species
UACGGAGGGGACUAGCGUUGUUCGGAAUUACUGGGCGUAAAGCGCACGUAGGCGGAUUUGUAAGUCAGGGGUGAAAUCCCGGGGCUCAACCUCGGAACUGCCUUUGAUACUGAGGAUCUUGAGUUCGGGAGAGGUGAGUGGAACUGCGAGUGUAGAGGUGAAAUUCGUAGAUAUUCGCAAGAACACCAGUGGCGAAGGCGAAUCUCUGGACAGUUACUGACACUGAGGCACGAAGGCCAGGGGAGCAAACGGG